ensembl:lincRNA
GGGGUCCCAGCAGGUGUCUCAUCCAUGAGAAAAUCCACAGGGGGCUGGAGGUGCGGCUCAGUGGUGAGCGCUUGCCUAGCAUGCACCAGGCCCCGGGCCAUGCCCUGCACAAGGAAGAAGAGAGGAAAGGAGAGAGACUCGGAAGGGCUUAGCAAUGAAUAAAUAAAAGCAAUUUUUUUCCAGUCCUGGGGACUGACCUACAUCUCCAGCCCUUUAAACUGUUUUGCGUCUUGCCAAGUCGCUAAGUUGCCCAGGCGGGGUCCGAAGUUAGGGUCUUCAGGCCUCAGGCUCCCUUCGUGCCGAGGUGACCGCGGCGCCGCGCCGCACGCAGCUCCAGUGCCUGUUUCUGUAGUUUCAUGGGCACCCAGCCCUAAAACUUCGUUCACCUCACAGCUGCUUUUCCAUUGUGAUGGCAGAGUGACCAGGGCAACAGCCUCUACUGCACGCUGGACCCCUGAACUCACGGACUGCAGGCCACGCUCCAGGCCGCUCGGGCUGCUCUGUGCACGCCUGGACGCCCAGGAUCCCAGCCCACGCGCCUCCGGGCGCUCUCCCCUGCUCCAAGCUGUGCAGGGAGCACUGCAGCUGCCCAGCGCACUUCUGCAAACACGUGUCGGUCAACCUCUGUGGACACACGGGCGACCUCCGCCACGCCCCUGGUGUUACCCAAGCAGUCUCACCCCCAUUGGGGCGCAGCCCGCACCAGCAGCAGCUCCUGCUCCUUAGCCACGGCAAUCUGUAUCUUCACCUGCUCCACGACGAGUCCCAGGUCAGGUUUUCCGGCGCCGAAGCCACCCUUCCCGGCUCCAAAGCCAACCCUGCUGCCGCCGCGCCAGGUCCAACCCCCCAGUCGUCAGAAGCUGGGUCGCCCGGAGCACCACGGGAAGUGUAGUCCAAGCUGCGACUCUCGCAAGGCCCCGCGCGUCAGUCACACAGCUGGCAGGAAGCCGCCUGGCCCAAGUACAGUGGGCGAGUCCAGAAUAUAAACCCACAAAGCCCUGCCGGGCUCCUUGCGCAGGCGCAAUAGAUAUACCCGGUGCAACUCGGGGAUUUUGGCAUCUAGGCCCCACCCCGCGUCUGGCAAACUCGCCCAUGCGCACAAGGAGACGACGAAUUUCCACCCUUGCGGACUAUAGAAAAAGGGCGGCAGGGAGGCGGGGCAGCGGAGAGCACGAAUAUUAGUGUCCCGGUUUUGACAGCAACUAAACAAGCACCGAUUAAAAUCGAAGUGUUUAUUGGAGUGUUGUACAAAAGUUUCCAGUCUUAAAAUGUAUAUUACAAAUCAAGGAAAAAAAAUACCACACAUUUGGCAUGCAUUUAAAAAACCCCAAACAAAACCCCCAAAGCAAGACUCCCCGGCCCAGCGCCCUCAGCCCCAUGUCCAUUGCAGGCCGGGCGGGUGCUGUCCACACAGGAACGUCCCGACUGGAGCUUUAGUGUAAAUGGAGUCGGGAAGGGUUAAAACGAGCUAUGGAAGCAGGUACGCGCCAGGACCCAGCGGGAAGGGCCUGGGAAGCGCGCUCUAAGGGGCGUCAAGCUAAGCACACCGGGGCAGGCACAUGGCCCCGAAACCGACACAAGUACCCGAAGCUUGGUGACCGACGACCACCCACCUCCAACACUAGCCGCCCGCCUGGCCCCCACCUCCUCCAAGCAAGGACACCCAGGGAGCCCAAAAGGGGGUGACAGGCCCGGGUAGAGGAGGCUG